AGGGUGGUGGCGUAGUUGGCUAGAGCGUAGGUCUCAUAGGGUCUAAGUUAUCCUAAGGUCGAGAGUUUGAGUCUCUCUCACCCCA
rnacentral:tRNA from 1 species